GACGGGGCCCGCACAAGCGGUGGAGUAUGUGGUUUAAUUCGAUGCAACGCGAAGAACCUUACCUGGUCUUGACAUCCCGGAGACCCUUAGGAAACUAGGGGGUGCUUCCAUCUGGAAGAAUCUGGAGACAGGUGCUGCAUGGCUGUCGUCAGCUCGUGUCGUGAGAUGUUGGGUUAAGUCCCGCAACGAGCGCAACCCUUGCCUUUAGUUGCCAGCAGUUCGGCUGGGCACUCCAAAGGGACUGCCGGUGUUAAACCGGAGGAAGGUGGGGAUGACGUCAAGUCCUCAUGGCCUUUAUGACCAGGGCUACACACGUACUACAAUGGCCGAUACAAAGGGCAGCGACACUGCGAGGUGAAGCCAAUCCCGUAAAAUCGGUCUCAGUCCGGAUUGGAGUCUGCAACUCGACUCCAUGAAGUUGGAAUCGCUAGUAAUCGUGGAUCAGCAUGCCACGGUGAAUACGUUCCCGGGCCUU
rnacentral:rRNA from 1 species